GACGAACGCUGGCGGCGUGCCUAACACAUGCAAGUCGAACGAGACCUUCGGGUCUAGUGGCGCACGGGUGCGUAACGCGUGGGAACCUGCCCUUAGGUUCGGAAUAACUCCCCGAAAGGGGUGCUAAUACCGGAUAAUGUCUUCGGACCAAAGAUUUAUCGCCUUUGGAUGGGCCCGCGUUGGAUUAGCUAGUUGGUAGGGUAAAAGCCUACCAAGGCGACGAUCCAUAGCUGGUCUGAGAGGAUGAUCAGCCACACUGGGACUGAGACACGGCCCAGACUCCUACGGGAGGCAGCAGUGGGGAAUAGUGGACAAUGGGCGAAAGCCUGAUCCAGCAAUGCCGCGUGAGUGAUGAAGGCCUUAGGGUUGUAAAGCUCUUUUACCCGGGAUGAUAAUGACAGUACCGGGAGAAUAAGCUCCGGCUAACUCCGUG
rnacentral:rRNA from 1 species